UUUUUGUUUUUUUUAAGUAAUUCAACAGGGGUAUCUCCUCCCUCCUACCCCCAGGUUUCAUGCAGGGGUAGUAGGUGGCACAAUUCACUGGCGCCGCUUUUUUGUGUGACGUAGCCGGGGCUGUGAUGGAUUCUUGAACCACUGCCAAAGCAGAGGAAUCCUCCUCAGAAACUUCUCCUUUUUUCAUGUUUUUUUUUUUUUUUUCCUGUCGUGAGGAUGAUACCCGCUUCAUUGUUCUCCACUUCCCCACUCCGGGCAAUUCAAGUUUUUCCUCCAGGCUGAGCGCUCUCAUUGGCUGGACUGUCCCAACAUGGCAGAGCCUGAUUGGCUGGUUCAGACACCACUUUUUGCUUCUUUUGAAGAUGCUCAGCGCGGGAAAUAGAGUGACACUACAGAGGAGAAAUCUUUCAGCGAUGGCCAGCCUCAGUGUGUUGAUGGACAGAAGACACAUCACCCUGCAAUGCAGCACAACAACCACCAGGAGGGACUACCGUAUGAGCCAACUACACAGCAAGUAAUAGCUGUCUCAGGAGGAACAGACUUCUGGGGGCCAAAGGAGGUGCAUGACUGAUAAAAAAGUCAGCCGUGGGAGUCCUAGUAAACAGGUGGCAGAUGUAGCAGGAACCGGGAGACAGGGAGAGACGAAAGAGAAGAACAGCAGAAUUCGAUACGAGCCCGCAGAGGGGGCAGCAGGGAGGAAGGCAGCCAACAAACGAGGGAGGAAUAGAGCAGAUGCUACGUGUAGGAGGAGGCCUGUGAGGAGGGGGCAGACGUUCAGGUCCCUCAAUGCUGCUACCUGUCAGUUACUCAUUCUGCCUUCUCUAGAAAUGCCUAUGGUUAUCUUCCAGAGUACAGUACGCCCUGUCCAAAUAUUUACCGUGUCACAUAAACCGAGAGAAAUAUUCAGUUGUGGAGCAGGAAGGAUCAGGCAGCUUCUACUGAGAUAAGACUAACUAAAAAGCUGUCAAACAAUACAAGGUCUAAGUCUUUAGAUAAGGAAUAGAAUAAAGUGGAGGAAGUGAUUCAACAAAAUUAGAUUUUAUUUAAAAAGAUGUGUUAUAUAAGGUUGCAAUAAACAUUAAAAUGUGUUUGAUGAAAGACAUUGGCAUUGACUGGCAAAGCGUACUGUUAAUGAUUCAGAAAAAAUGAUUUGAUUGCAUUUAAAUCAUAAGGUGACAUACACUGUCUUUUUUUUUUAACAGGA